AUGCAUGUUUAUAACGUUAAUGCAUUGGAUCCGUAGUUAAAGAAACUUGGGCUAGAGUAGUACUGGGAUGGGUGAUCGCCUUGGAAGUUCUAGUGUUUUACAUG
rnacentral:rRNA from 1 species